rnacentral:rRNA from 1 species
GUAGGUGGCAAGCGUUGUCCGGAAUUAUUGGGCGUAAAGCGCGCGCAGGUGGGUUCUUUAAGUCUGAUGUGAAAGCCCCCGGGCUCAACCGGGGAGGGUCAUUGGAAACCGGGGAACUUGAGUGCAGGAGAGGAAAGUGGAAUUCCACGUGUAGCGGUGAAAUGCGUAGAUAUGUGGAGGAACACCAGUGGCGAAGGCGACUUUCUGGCCUGUAACUGACACUGAGGCGCGAAAGCGUGGGGAGCAAACAGGAUUAGAUACCCUGGUAGUCCACGCCGUAAACGAUGAGUGCUAAGUGUUGGGGGGUUUCCGCCCCUCAGUGCUGCAGCUAACGCAUUAAGCACUCCGCCUGGGGAGUACGGUCGCAAAGACUG